UUCCGGUUGAUCCUGCCGGAGGCUACCGCUAUUGGAAUCCGAUUAAGCCAUGCGAGUCGAGAGAUUUCGGAUCUCGGCAGACGUCUCAGUAACACGUGGAUAAUCUACCCUUGAGUGGGGGAUAAGCUUGGAAACCUGAGUAUAAUACCCCAUAGGCCUAGGAUGCUGGAAUGCUUCUAGGCUGAAAGCUCCGGCGCUCGAGGAUGAAUCUGCGGCCUAUCAGGCAGUAGUGGGUGUAACGGACCCACUAACCUUCGACGGGUACGGGCCUUGUNAGAGGUUGCCCGNAGUUGGACUCUGAGACACGAGUCCAGGCCCUACGGGGUGCAGCAGGCGCGAAAACUUCACAAUGUGGGAAACCACGAUGAGGGGAUUCCAAGUGCCAACACUUUGUGUUGGCUGUUCACUUGCCUAAAAAGCUGGUGAAGUAAGAGCCGGGUAAGACGGGUGCCAGCCGCCGCGGUGAUACCCGCGGCUCGAGUGGUGGCCACUAUUAUUGAGCCUAAAGCGUUCGUAGCCGGUUUCGUAAAUUUCUGGGUAAAUCGGGCAGCUUAGCUGUCCGAAUUCCGGAAAGACUGCGAAACUUGGGACCGGAGGAGGUUGGAGGUACUCCUGGGGUAGGGGUGAAAUCCUGUAAUCCUGGGGGGACCACCAGUGGCGAAGGCGUCCAACCAAAACGGCUCCGACGGUAAGGGACGAAGCCCUGGGGCGCAAACGGGAUUAGAUACCCCGGUAGUCCAGGGUGUAAACGCUGCAGGCUUGGUGUUGGGGGUCCUACGAGGGCGCCCAGUGCCGGAGAGAAGUUGUUAAGCCUGCCGCUUGGGGAGUACGUCCGCAAGGAUGAAACUUAAAGGAAUUGGCGGGGGAGCAC
rnacentral:rRNA from 1 species